rnacentral:sRNA from 1 species
UCCACGCCGAGGAUGUCCACAUUCACGCC